CUGUGUUCUCUGCAUCAGGUUCCCCUGAGGAAUGAUGAAGACUUCCUAACAAAUCCUGCUGCGAUGGUGGGGAUUUGAUAUUUGGCAAUUCUACAGCUCAGCCAUCUCUCAGCAUUUACCCUGGGAAAAGACGCCCACCCUCCCAAGCUGUCAUCUUCAAAUCCAAUAGGAGAACUGUCUCCUUCUGAUCAACCUGAUGAUCGCCACAGACCUCUCCAUCUGGGCUGCAGUUCUGACAAAUAUUCGUGUGUGAAGUAGACUUGAAACAUUUGAAAUUCUCAGAAAAAAAGAAAUGCAAAUACUUUGGUAGACAAAGCCAGCUUAGGUACAGGCAGAAUUUUAACAAAGAAUGGGGUGACUACACACUCCUGUACUAAAAAUAGAAAUACUUCUUCAAACCUUUAUUUAGCUUUCCUAGUGCGAAACUGGAGUAGGAAAGGAGCCGUGUUAUCAAUCAGUCUUAGGGCUCUCACCCAGCUGGAACAGGACAUGUUGUGCACUAUAUAUUUAUAUUUACCCAUUUCAAAAGGCUGUAGAUUCAUUUUUUCCCCUGACAUGAGAAAUAUUGGUGGAAGCACUGAAGGAUUAGACAGUGGCUGUGAUUUGCCUGCUAAAGUAAACAUGAGCCAAUACUGUAACCAGAUCACAUUCUUGCGGUGGGGUGAAGAGACUUUAAUUCUCAGCCACACUGAGAAGAAGCAAAAAGUGCACCAGGAAAUAGGCUGAGCUUUCUUUAGUGUGGGAAUGAAAACAUGGAACAAAAGGGGACAUUUGGCCUCAUUUAACAUGCCUUGAUCCUUGGGAUACAUCAGGAAUAGUUCAGGAUGAGAUGCCCCAUCCCUGGAAGUGUUCAGGUUGGAUGCUGC